rnacentral:rRNA from 1 species
UACGUAGGGGGCAAGCGUUGUCCGGAUUUAUUGGGCGUAAAGAGCGUGUAGGCGGUUAGGUAGGUCCGUUGUGAAAACUCGAGGCUCAACCUCGAGAUGUCGGCGGAAACCAUCUGGCUAGAGUCCGGAAGAGGAGAGUGGAAUUCCUGGUGUAGCGGUGAAAUGCGCAGAUAUCAGGAAGAACACCCGUGGCGAAGGCGGCUCUCUGGGACGGUACUGACGCUGAGACGCGAAAGCUAGGGGAGCAAACGGG